rnacentral:rRNA from 1 species
GCUUGUCUCAAAGAUUAAGCCAUGCAUGUGUAAGUAUAAGCAAUUUAUACUGUGAAACUGCGAAUGGCUCAUUAAAUCAGUUAUAGUUUAUUUGAUAGUACCUACUACUUGGAUACCCGUAGUAAUUCUAGAGCUAAUACAUGCGUAAAAUCCCGACUCACGAAGGGAUGUAUUUAUUAGAUAAAAAACCAAUGCGUGGCAACACGGAUAUGUGGUGAUUCAUGAUAACUUUGCGAAUCGAAUGGCCUUGUGCUGUCGAUAAAUCAUUCAAAUUUCUGCCCUAUCAACUUUCGAUGGUAGGGUAUUGGCCUACCAUGGUUUUAACGGGUAACGGAGAAUUAGGGUUCGAUUCCGGAGAGGGGGCCUGAGAAAUGGCCACCACAUCCAAGGAAGGCAGCAGG